ensembl:snRNA U2 U2 spliceosomal RNA
GUUUAUUCUUGGCCUUUUGGCUAAGAUCAAGUGUAGUAUCUGUUCAUAUCAGUUUAAUAUCUGAUAUGUCCACUAUCAGAGGACAAUAUAUUAAAUGGAUUUUUGGAGCAGUGAGAUGGAAUAGGAGAUUGCUCCAUCCACUCCAUGCGUCAACUGGUAUUACAAAAUCUCCAGGAACGGUGCACUCCCU